AUGAAUCACCGGUUCCUGUACGAUCAUCGCUGUUAAGCAAAGUCGAGCCUGGUCAGUAACUAGAUGGGUAACAGCUUGGGAAUACCAGGUGCU